rnacentral:rRNA from 1 species
CAGUGGGGAAUAUUGCACAAUGGGCGCAAGCCUGAUGCAGCAACGCCGCGUGGGGGAUGACGGCCUUCGGGUUGUAAACCUCUUUUGGUAGGGAAGAAGCCUUCGGGUGACGGUACCUGCAGAAAAAGGACCGGCUAACUACGUGCCAGCAGCCGCGGUAAUACGUAGGGUCCGAGCGUUGUCCGGAAUUAUUGGGCGUAAAGAGCUCGUAGGCGGUUCGUCGCGUCUGCCGUGAAAUCCUCAGGCUCAACCUGAGGCGUGCGGUGGGUACGGGCGAGCUAGAGUGCGGUAGGGGAGAAUGGAACUCCUGGUGUAGCGGUGGAAUGCGCAGAUAUCAGGAAGAACACCGAUGGCGAAGGCAGUUCUCUGGGCCGUAACUGACGCUGAGGAGCGAAAGCGUGGGGAGCGAACAGGAUUAGA